GAGCAUGCGGCAGCUAUACAUGCAGUCGAACGGGAUCCGCUGGAGAGCUUGCUCGAAGGCGGUGAGAGUGGCGCACGGGUGCGUAACGCGUGAGCAACCUACCCUUGUCAGGGGGAUAGCCCGGCGAAAGUCGGAUUAACACCGCAUGACACCACGAGAUGGCAUCAUUUUGUGGUCAAAUAUUUAUAGGACAGGGAUGGGCUCGCGUGACAUUAGCUAGUUGGUAGGGUAACGGCUUACCAAGGCGACGAUCCUUAGCUGGUCUGAGAGGAUGAUCAGCCACACUGGGACUGAGACACGGCCCAAACUCCUACGGGAGGCAGCAGUGGGGAAUAUUGGACAAUGGGCGAAAGCCUGAUCCAGCAAUGCCGCGUGAGUGAUGAAGGCCUUAGGGUUGUAAAGCUCUUUUACCCGGGAUGAUAAUGACAGUACCGGGAGAAUAAGCUCCGGCUAACUCCGUGCCAGCAGCCGCGGUAA
rnacentral:rRNA from 1 species